GAUUAUGGCUCAGAUUGAACGCUGGCGGCAGGCCUAACACAUGCAAGUCGAACGGUAACAGGAAACAGCUUGCUGUUCGCUGACGAGUGGCGGACGGGUGAGUAAUGUCUGGGAAACUGCCUGAUGGAGGGGGGAUAACUACUGGAAACGGUAGCUAAUACCGCAUAACGUCGCAAGACCAAAGAGGGGGACCUUCGGGCCUCUUGCCAUCGGAUGUGCCCAGAUGGGAUUAGCUAGUAGGUGGGGUAACGGCUCACCUAGGCGACGAUCCCUAGCUGGUCUGAGAGGAUGACCAGCCACACUGGAACUGAGACACGGUCCAGACUCCUACGGGAGGCAGCAGGUGGGGAAUAUUGCACAAUGGGCGCAAGCCUGAUGCAGCCAUGCCGCGUGUAUGAAGAAGGCCGUUCGGGUUAGUAAAGUUACUUCAGCGGGGAGGAAGGGAGUAAAGUUAAUACCUUUGCUCAUUGACGUUACCCGCAGAAGAAGCACCGGCUAACUCCGUGCCAGCAGCCGC
rnacentral:rRNA from 1 species